UACGGGGGGGGCAAGCGUUGUUCGGAAUUACUGGGCGUAAAGGGCUCGUAGGUGGCCAACUAAGUCAGACGUGAAAUCCCUCAGCUUAACUGGGGAACUGCGUCUGAUACUGGAUGGCUUGAGUUUGGGAGAGGGACGCGGAAUUCCAGGUGUAGCGGUGAAAUUCGUAGAUAUCGGGAGGAACACCGGUGGCGAAGGCGGCGACCUGGGUAGAUACUGACGCUGAGGUGCGAAAGCGUGGGGAGCAAACAGG
rnacentral:rRNA from 1 species